rnacentral:rRNA from 1 species
AGUGAACGCUGGCGGCGUGCUUAACACAUGCAAGUCGAACGAGAACGGAAUAUAGCUUGCUAUAUUUGUCAGCUAAGUGGCGCACGGGUGAGUAAUGUAUAGAUAACCUGCCCUUAAGAAAGGAAUAACAGUUGGAAACGACUGCUAAUGCCCUAUAUGCCUUUAAUACAUAAGUAUGCAAGGGAAACGCUUUAGUGCUUAAGGAUGGGUCUGUAUGGUAUCAGCUUGUUGGUGAGGUAAUGGCUCACCAAGGCUAUGACGCCUAACUGGUUUGAGAGGAUGAUCAGUCACACUGGAACUGAGACACGGUCCAGACUCCUACGGGAGGCAGCAGUGGGGAAUAUUGCACAAUGGACGAAAGUCUGAUGCAGCAACGCCGCGUGGAGGAUGACACAUUUCGGUGCGUAAACCCCUUUUAUAUAGGAAGAUAAUGACGGUACUAUAUGAAUAAGCACCGGCUAACUCCGUGCCAGCAGCCGCGUAA